UUGCUUUUUAAAUUUUUUUUAGUGUUUAUUCAUUUUUGAGAGAGAGAGAGCAUGCACAGGGAAGGGGCAGAGAGAGAGAGAGAGAGAGAGAGAGAGACAGAAUUGGAAGCAGGCUCCAAGCUGUCAGCACAGAGCCCGAGGUGAGGCGCGAACUCACGAACCGUGAGAUCGUGGCCUGAGCCCAAGUCAGAUGCUCAACCGACUGAGCCACCCACGUGCCCCGUGAGCUUGCUUUUUAAAAGAGAGGUGUUUUCUAAGCAUACCUGUAGUCCAGAGGCCCCUAGAGUGCCUGUCGAAGUGCCUCCAACUCCUGAGCCAGGGGAAGUGGGCAUCCAGGUGAGGCUUCCCGGAAGUGGAGUCCUGAGUUCCUAGGUUCGGGUGGGGAAGUGCCUGGGGAAGCGCUUGGAUCCCCCAUUCGUUCCCCAGCUGGUUCAUUGUGCUGUUUGGAACCAUCAGUCUCCCCUCGGCUACUUCCUUAUGCGCAAGGUCUGCAAUUGGAAAAUCAAAACGGAGAUGAAUUUUUCCGGCAUCUGAGGUCUAAGGAGGAAAUGUUUUGCCGCGUGGGCCAUCGCCUCUGGGCAAGGUGGGAUUGGCCGGAAGGUCAGUUGUUGGGCCCGCUUCUAAAGGCAUUGGUGCCUCGGUUUCUCCAUUCGCUCCCCCUUUGCUAUCAACCGGUCCUAAGCAACCAGGUCGGAAGACAUUUAAUACUUGUAUUCACGAAGAUUCCCUCCUCUACCAAACUACUCGGCUCCGCUGAACGUCGCAAGCAGGACCUUGACUUUCGGACUCUCAUCUUCACCUCUGCAUUGCCCCAUUUUGGUGACAAUCCUGCCGAGUCAACACAGCCAGGAUCCCUGACCUUUGCCAUCUGGAUCCAGUUUCUUAUCCUCCACCAUCCCGCAGAGGAUUUCUGAUCCCCUCAGCCUGCCUUCAGCAAGAAUCCUCCUUGGUCCACUUAGCAAGAAUCUCCCUUUACCCCUGAUGUUUCCUCUUAAUAAUAUCCAUCCACUGGCUCCCACCCUGCCCCGUGGCUAUCAAUCUCAUGUGCCCAUGUGGUAUUCAGACUUGAGUCCAAUGCUCCCCAUUACAGUGGUCCCUAGUCCUUAUUGCCUUGAAUAAAAUCUUCCUUGCCGUGA